UGCCAGCCGCCGCGGUAAUACGGAGGGUGCAAGCGUUAAUCGGAAUUACUGGGCGUAAAGCGCGCGUAGGCGGAAUGUUAAGUCUCAUGUGAAAGCCCUGGGCUCAACCUGGGAACUGCAUGGGAUACUGGCAUUCUAGAAUACAGUAGAGGGAGGUGGAAUUUCAGGUGUAGCGGUGAAAUGCGUAGAGAUCUGAAGGAACAUCAGUGGCGAAGGCGACCUCCUGGACUGAUAUUGACGCUGAGGUGCGAAAGCGUGGGGAGCAAACAGGAUUAGAUA
rnacentral:rRNA from 1 species